CCCCUGGUGGUCUAGUGGCCAGGAUUCCUGGUUUCCAUCCAGGUUACCUAGAUUCAAUUCUCAGUCAGUGAA
rnacentral:tRNA from 1 species